rnacentral:lncRNA from 1 species
AUCCCAUAGAAGCCCUAGAAGAGCAGCAAGCAGGUGUGCUGGCGCCAUCUCCAGAGAACUCUGAUGCCUCCCUCCUGAGAGGCCCAGUAACAGGACCACCAGGAUGACUGGCAUAAGGGACAGGAGAGGAUACAAGGGGAAACACUUCUUAACUUACAAAUGCUUGACUGGAAUGACAUAUUUUAAAAUAUGACCAGACAACUUUGAGAAACUAAGGUAAACUUCAGAAAGGCAAGAAAGCGCACCUUGGAGAAACUGGUCUCAUACCUUGAGCACAUGGUUCACGUGACUGCUUUACAGGACAAACCGUGCAGAAAUACAAGGCAUGACAAUCAUAAGUCUUUCUUCAAGAAAUCCAAAGUAAUGACUUUACUGCUCCAUCCUGCAAUCAACAGAUACUCAGAAACAGCCCAAAGAUGAAUUACUUAGCUAAUUCUUUGGUAUUUUCUCGCAAUCCUCUUUUUCAUUGUACAUUUCAUUUUUUAACAGCCAUUGGUACUGAAACUUAUGUUUGCAAAAGCAAGAGAGUUGAUUAAUAGGUAUUUUAUACAUCUGGUAUUUUCUCAUAAAAGACUAGAAAACUUAUUUCAAUUAUCAUACCACCAACAAGGAUGCAAUCUGUUCACAAGGCCUGUUUACGAGUGGCUGCUUUGGGUAAUGGCUGUUUUCUUAGCAUGGGAAAUGAAAUAUAAUAUUAUUAAGCAGAGAUAUGCAAAAUGAAGUGUCAACUUAUCCAUCUUCCUGAUGUUUAUAGGCUUCAUUUUUUAGAAUGUUUAUUUUAUUUUAUGGGACCACACGUUAAAAUACCUCCUAUUUCAAAGGAUCUAAUUUCUUUUAUUCCGAUUUUAAUGUCCUUGAAUAUUAACAUUCUCAAACUUGUAAGCAAUCAGCUAAGGAAAUCUGUGGUAGGUACUUUAUUAAUUCCAUUUAGAUAAAUGUAUCAUAAUGGGAGAGACAAUAAAAAUGAACACUUUAUCUUUGCCUGAGAAAAAGAACUGGUCUUUGCCAGAAGGAUGGCAUAAAUGAUUUUCACUUUUAGAGGCCACCUGUGAUAAAAUGGGGGAAGGGGUGGCGGUUGGUAGAAAGCAAACCUCUAAUAAUAAUGAGUGUGUGCGUGUGUGCAUGUGCAUGCACGUGUGUGUGUGUGUGUGUGUGUGUGUGUUCAGGAGGGAGAGGGGUUGUGAAUCAAGGCACUGUAAUGGAAAUAAUAAAUCAAUUUUGAAGAGCUUGAGUAAGAUCAUUGGAAAAGUCUAGCUAUAUCUGUUUUUGGCUAAGUGUGGCUCCUUCGUUAUUUCACUAAAUUUCAUUAUCUCUGCAAGGAGUGGAAGUGAGAAAGAAUAAACUUUGUAAAAAGGUAAAUAUCACCACUUAUUUAAUUAUCAUUUCUAUUAUUUUCCCAGGAAGGCAUCCUACUAAUAAAUGGACCUACCUGCAGAUAAAGGAAAGGAAAUCAUAUACUAAAGGAGGAGGAUAACUUUAAACAGUAUAGAUUAUAGAACUCUACAAAGCCCUCUUGCAAAAUAUAUUAAAUUCCUUUAUAUGAGGAAAAGGAAUAUUAACACUGGCAAGAUAUAUACUGGGGUGUCC